UUCUACAAAAUGGAUUUUUUAUUAAAUGAAAGAAAAAUCUUUUUUGUGGAUUUCAUUUAUGAAAUAGAAUAUACAAAAACUUUACAUUAGUCCUCUCAAUUGAAUAAAAUCCUAUUGCAGUUUAAUCUAGCACUCAUUUUCUGUCCGAGCACAAUGCAUGAAGACAUUCUCCAUGGUGUAAAGCACUGAGCUACAACAGCUUAUGGAGAGGCAAGGUUAAAAAUCUACACACUGCUCUUCUAACAAAUCCAAACUAGAGCACAGAGGAAGAUGUCUGAGAGUUUACAAUGCCUCUGAUCACAUUCUCUAUAUCUAUACAAAUAUAUAUUGUAUUCGUUUAAAAAAAUGUUUUAUCUUGUAUGUAUGUGAAAAGCGCACAAUUACAGGCUAUUUAUUUUCUCACGCACUAUGGGGUUUUUGUCCAGAGAUGGUGUGAUAUUCCCCCAAGCCACUUUGAGACCCUAUCCCAUACCCCCCAAAAAAUCAUAAAAUAAAAUCUUUCCUACUAUAUGGAGCUCAGAGAAGAGCAUUACAUGUCUUUGGCAUAUCACAACAAUUUCCCAUUAAUACUUGGUUUCCUUUUCUAAAAACAAACAAAAAAAACAAAAUGGUGCAUUUUCUUUAGUAAAAUAAAUUUAAAACAAUCAAAAGAUGUGUAGAAUGACAAACCUGUGAACCAGCAAAAUAUACAUAUGUCUCCGGAAAAUGAAAAAUAUAAUAAAAUACAGAAAGAAUAAGAUCACACAUACAUUGUAAGUCCAUUUAUGACCGCAUGUCCUCGAUUGAUUAAACAUUUCCCUAGUGGGAACAGAGUGUCAUAUGAAGUCAUUGAGUUCAGCUUCAAUAGCAGCUGCCAUUUCAUCAGCUUCAGAACUGCUACCUUCCUCGUCCUCAUUGCUGGAUUCACUGCCAUCAUCUUCCUCUUCAUCUUCCAGCUUUCUCUUAUGACCUCUAGGGAAAGCAGAGAGGUUUAAAAUGAUUAAAAGUUAAGCUUAAACUAUAAACAUGGUUAUAGUGGCCAGAUUUUUAUAACAGUUAAAGAGUUACACAGCUUAUAACGAGAAUCAAUAAAUCUGUAUCUACAAUUGAAGAAAAAUAAAAGGAAACGUGGCAUUAACCAAGAACUAGACCAGGGUUUGACAAAAC
rnacentral:lncRNA from 1 species